rnacentral:rRNA from 1 species
AGAGUUUGAUCCUGGCUCAGGAUGAACGCUAGCGGUGCGCCUAAUACAUGCAAGUCGAGCGAGGUUUCGAACCGAGCGGCGAACGGCUGAGUAACACGUUGGUACCUACCCUGUACUCAGGGAUAACAGUUGGAAACGACUGAUAAUACCGGAUAGUCCCGCAAGGGUAAAGAUUUUUCGGUACAGGAGGGGCCUGCGGCUCAUCAGGUAGUUGGUAGGGUAAUGGCCUACCAAGCCUAUGACGAGUAUCUGGUGUGAGAGCAUGACCAGACAGAAUGGGACUGAGACACGGCCCAUACUCCUACGGGAGGCAGCAGUAAGGAAUCUUCCACAAUGGACGAAAGUCUGAUGGAGCGACACCGCGUGCAGGAUGACACCCCUUGGGGCGUAAACUGCUUUUCUGAGUGAAGACAUUUUGACGUUAACUCAGGAAUAAGCACCGGCUAACUACGUGCCAGCAGCCGCGGUAAUACGUAGGGUGCAAGCGUUAUCCGGAAUAAUUGGGCGUAAAGCGUCCGCAGCCGGACAAAUAAGUUUGAUGUUAAAGCCCGCAGCUCAACUGCGGAAUCGUAUCGAAAACUGUUUGUCUAGAGUUAUACAGAGGUGCGUGGAAUUUAUGGAGUAGGGGUAAAAUCCGUUGAUACCAUAAGGAACACCAAAAGCGAAGGCAGCGCACUGGGUAUAUACUGACGGUCAGGGACGAAAGCGUGGGGAGCAAAGAGGAUUAGAUACCCUUGUAGUCCACGCCGUAAACGAUGGAUACUCGAUGUUGGAGGAUUCGACCCCUUCAGUGUCUAAGCUAACGCGUUAAGUAUCCCGCCUGGGGAGUACGAUCGCAAGAUUAAAACUCAAAGGAAUAGACGGGGACCCACACAAGCGGUGGAAUAUGGGGUUUAAUUCGUCAAUACGCGAGAAACCUUACCAAGACUUGACAUCCCGAGAACUUUCCAGAAAUGGAUUGGUGCCGCAAGGAACUCGGUGACAGGUGCUGCAUGGUUGUCGUCAGCUCGUGCCUUGAGGUGUACGGUUAAGUCCGCCAACGAGCGCAACCCUUAUUGUAUGUUGUAUAUUUCAUGCAAGACUGCCUGGUACAACCAGGAGGAAGGUGGGGAUGACGUCAAAUCAGCAUGGCCCUUACGUCUUGGGCUACACCCGUAUUACAAUGGAAGGUACAAUGUGUAGCGAAACAGCAAUGUCUAGCUAAUCACUAAAAACCUUUCUCAGUUCGGAUUGAGGGCUGCAACUCGCCCUCAUGAAGUUGGAAUCGCUAGUAAUCGUAGAUCAUCAUGCUACGGUGAAUAUGUUCCUGGGUCUUGUACUCACCGCCCGUCAAAUCACGAGAGAAGGGGGCGCCCGAAGUCGUGUUAGUCUUUCGAGACGCAUGCCUAAGGUGAAACUUUUGAUUGGGAUUAAGUCGUAACAAGGUA